CCUGUGAGUUUUCAUACCAGGCCAACUUUGAAUUGUAUUUUGUUUCUUUGCCCAUGGAGCAUAAUCAGAAACCUGGGGAGAUGAUAUAAUGAAAAGCACAAAAUACCUCACUGAACAACGAGGAGUAAAUAAAGCAGGCUGAAUGUCAGGCAGCUGAGAAGAGACAUGAGCUGCAGAAGAAAGGAAAAGAAAAAGAAGAAUUCAGAAACUCUUCUUCUGAGCUCUUACUUGAUCAUCUUUUUUUUCUAAAUCAGGAAAUGGAAAUUUUGAUUUCCCAUCGUAACUUAGCCAGAAAAAUCAAGAGCUAAAAGUGAGUUUUAUUUAACCUAAUUCCCAAACUUUGGCUGUACAUCCUAAUUACAGUAUAUCACUGUGACUUGGAAAAGCUGGAUGCCAGAUAUAUACACCACAAAAUAUAGACUGUGGAUGACAGGAGAAGGCUUUCAAACCAAUAACUAAAACUGUUUCUUCGUUUACAAAAAUGCUGAAGAAUGAUCUAAGUAAUUUGGGG
rnacentral:lncRNA from 14 species